AUUGAACGCUGGCGGCAUGCCUUACACAUGCAAGUCGAACGGUAACAGGUCUUCGGCUGCUGCCGAGUGGCGAACGGGUGAGUAAUACAUCGGAACGUGCCCGAUCGUGGGGGAUAACGAGGCGAAAGCUUUGCUAAUACCGCAUACGAUCUACGGAUGACAGCGGGGGAUCUUCGGACCUCGCGCGGACGGAGCGGCCGAUGGCAGAUUAGGUAGUUGGUGGGAUAAAAGCUUACCAAGCCGACGAUCUGUAGCUGGUCUGAGAGGGUGAUCAGCCACACUGGGACUGAGACACGGCCCAGACUCCUACGGGAGGCAGCAGUGGGGAAUUUUGGACAAUGGGCGAAAGCCUGAUCCAGCCAUGCCGCGUGCAGGAUGAAGGCCUUUGGGUUGUAAACUGCUUUUGUACGGAACGAAAAGCCUCUUUCUAAUAAAGAGGGGUCAUGACGGUACCGUAAGAAUAAGCACCGGCUAACUACGUG
rnacentral:rRNA from 1 species